UAGGGUACAUUUCUAUUUGGUAGACCAAAACCAAAACCAGACAUUCUAAUUGUUAAAACCAGAAAUAAAGCAACCAAAAAAAAAAAAACAGCAUACUUAUCAUAAACAGUCAGAUAAGUAGAAAAUGAAAGCAAAAUUUGAGCAUAUCCAAAUAAAAUAUCUAGCUUUCAAAGAAACCAACACAAUGUUGCUUCAUUUCAUAGUCUUAUCUUCACAGCAUUAUCUUGUUAUCUCUCUCUCUUCUGAAAAUUUCAAUGACCACACCAAAAAAAUGCCUUACUUUUAC
rnacentral:lncRNA from 1 species